GGUGGUGACAGGGCCACCUGUGGGCUGGUGAGGGGUUUAAAGAGACAGUCUGCAGCUGCAACAGGAGCCCUGGCUAUUGUCUCCGCACCUGAGAGCGGGGAAACCUGCAGCCCCCGAACCACCCAUCCACCCAUCCAUCCAUCCACCCACCCAUCCAUCCACCCACCCACCGCAUCCCAUCCCGUCCGUCUCACCUCAUCCCUGCAUCCCCUGCCUCCAGCACUGCAGCUCUCCCGGGACCGGGGUGUCCCGAGCUGGGUCCCGUAUCCCUUCCCUGUAGCGGCUCCUCCAAGAAACCUCUCUCGGGCUCUGGCACGCUCUGCCUUCAUCUCAGCUCAUCUGCCACAUCUGAAAUAUGAUUUCUACCAUCUGGUGCCCAACUCUUCAUCCCCAGCAUGGCCCCAGGACCCUGGAGAGGUGAGUAGCAUCCCUGUUCAACACAAGGCUUUUACCAAAGGGGGAAAUAUCUACUGUGGGAGAACCAUCUGCUGAGGAUCCAGGGUCAGUGGGAUCACAGGAUGCCACAGCACACUUUCAAAGUUAUUUCGACUUGUCUUUCAAAGAUAUUUUGACUUUUUUUCACCUCCAUCUUUGCAUAUGGGGUAGGGAGAAAAAAUGAUAGCACUGUUCCCUUGCAUCCUGGACUGUCUGUUUUCUCAAGUCUGGUCACUUUGGAAAACUGGGGAAAGCUUUUCACUGCCUCCCCACAUGCCCUAAUUUCUUCUGUUGAGGUUUCUUUGUCAUUGUGAGGGCACAGCUAAAACUUUGCAAUCUAAAAGGGAAUGCAAACUAUACAUUCUGGAAAGGAAAGAAGGAAGAUGGAUGGGUUUGUCGUGGACAAACCAAGAGUGAUCAGACCACAGGCGGAACAGCAAUGUGUCCAGGGAGAAGCUCUCAGCCAGGCACUUGAAUCUCUCAUCAUAUAAUGCAGAGUGUGAGGCAGAAAAGCAGGCAGUGACACUGCCUCCUUAUCCACCCAGAGCUGGAGGAAAAAUGCAAACCCGUGUCCCUCACAGCAAGGCUCGAGUUUGCUCCCACUUGUGUGGUGAUAGUGAGCUCACCACCUCAUUUACAGGGAGAAAAACGGGAUGAAGAGGCCCAGGAAUAUGAAAUGAACCAUCUCCAAGAGCUGUAAUACACAGUUUCACAAAAAAACACCAGAAAAAGAGUAUAAAUUUCUACACAGAAACCUGACAGGACUCCCUAGCAAGAUAUUGUGAGACACUUGAAUGACUCUGAUUAAAGGGAGAUUAAUUAGCUGAACAGAAGGCAUGGAAGCAAGAAACGCAAAACACGGAGCAACUGAUUUAAGGAAGAGGUUUACUGGCCAGAAGAAAAACAGAAAAGAAAUAUGCAAAAAUAAGUCACAGGGUAAUCUAAAUAUUUCCUUUCUGACUGGGCUAGAGAAGCUAAUGGGUGGUGGAAAGGGAGAUCUCUGGCAUGUGAAAACACUUGUCCUGCAUCCCUGUGAGCCAGGUCGGUAGCAGGGAGA
rnacentral:lncRNA from 1 species